AUAAUUCUAUCUACCUAAAAUAUUGGGCCAACUCUCUUCUCCCCUUAACCAAACAGCCCCUUUCUCCUUUAAUCAACAGCCCUAACGUCACCACCCAUCGCCGCCACCCUUGUCAUGUCCGUCACCUCAGCACCACCACGCCCAUAUCCCACAAAAUCCGCUACCUACGCCCCUCUUCUCCUUUCUCACACUCCAUCUCUGAAGCUUGCAGGCUCCAUGUGCGAUUUCAUGGCCUCUUUGUGAAGCUGAUUGAAGCCCUCAGUUGUUACCUAUAAAUACUAAGUCCUUAGUGAGCUAGAAAGGACAAGUUCAGAGGCUGAAAAUUCCCCUUUGAACAAGGCUUUCAUUGAGAGAAUAUCUCUUUCAAAGCUUUCAUACUCAGAAAAAAUCUUCAUUUAACUUUAAGUUUCUUUUUGGCUGUCAAAAUCUCUUUUCAAGUUCUCUGCUGAAACAACAAGCUUUUCGAGUGGAUUCAGAGACUCGACAACGACAAAUAGCCUCAGUUCGCUGUCCCGAAGAAGGUCAGUAAUCACAUUCACUUUCCCUUUCAUUUCAGUUGUUAGAUAAAAAAUGUAAUUGUUUGAGCGUUUUUGCCUCUCAUUUGGUUUUCUGUUGUAAAAAAAAUAAAAAUGUAUCUUUGUAUCCGCAGUUUGCUUGUCUAAUUUUCUGUUUGAGGUGUGUCGAACCUAAUUUUUGUUGUUCUUGUUCGAUGAAAUCAGUAUGUAGAAGUUAAAAAUGAAAUAAGGACACUUAGAAGGGCUAUCGAUUCCAUUUAAUGGAUGUAUGCCGCACCAUGUCGUUUGUCAUUUAACUUUUUGUUGCUAGUAUUCAUUUUAACUCUGUAUUUCGGAAAGGCGAUAAAAGAGCUGGCACAUAAGAAAUCCAGAGAGAUAAAACUUGAAUUUAUGAUCAUUUUUGGGGCUGUUUGUCUUCCUUGAAAAUGUAUGGGAUAACAUAGUACUAUAUCUUUUCUUUGAGUUUUGUUGUACAAAUUGAACUGGCUCCUUGCCUGAAAUUCCAAAACUGCUCAGUGUGUGUUCAUGACUAAGUUACUAGCGUUUUUAUUCCUAAAAAUUGGCAGGAUAGUAAAGUAGUUGUGCAAAACUUAUCUUUAGUUAAUAUUUCGUUAUGUUAGAAGGAAAAAUGAGGUCCUGGUGUGAACUUUGAAUAGUUUAGGUUAAACAUGUAAACACUCUCACCUCUCAUUUCAUUCUCAGUUAUAAAAAAAAAAAUGUAAUCGUUUGGUUAUCUGUGCUAGUUCAUUUUGUGUUCUACGCAUUUUGAGUUUGUUCUUGUUUUAAAGAUAGUGGAUGAAAUGGUUACGUAAACUAAUAACACUUAAGGGUAAUAACUACGUAACCUAUCGAUUAUGUGAAUAAUUGCAUCGCAACUAAAUUUUCUGUUUGGUGUGCUUAUCAAAAUCUGUGCGUUUAAACUUCCAAUUCGAAAAGCAGCAUGUAAAAAUGCUAAUACAAACUAAGGACAUUUAGAGGAAUACGACUGAUUCGUUAACUUAUCGAAUACGUGAUUAACCUUUACGCUAUUCUAGUUUAUUUUUUUUUAUUUUUUUUGUUUUGAGACGUGCCAGAACCUAUUUUACUCAACUAUGAACAUUUAGGGAGAAAACCACUGCACAUAACGCAGAUUUAUUGCUAUAAGUUCUAAGCUAAAGUUGCUGCUGAAUCUUGGGAAAGUUUGAGUCAGUUGCUGCUGCAUUUCAUGCCAUUUGCUGCUGCAUUUUAGGCCAUUUUACAACUGCGUUUUUGGCAAUUCGCUACUGAAUUUUGGGCCUAAACAUUGCUGCAUUUUCUACCAUUUUACUGCUGCGUUUUAGGCCAUUUUACAGCUGCGUUUUGGCACUUCGCUGCUGAAUUUUGGGCCUAAACAUUGCUGCAUUUUCUACCAUUCUGCUGCUGUGUUUUGAGCCAUGAACAGCUGCAUUUUUGGGCCACGCACAGCUGUGUUAAUAUGGCCGAAUUGCUGCCAUCUUUAAAUCUCUAGGCCUGCUGUUAUAUGGCCGCGGCUUGGUUGCCAUUUGAGCUUGUGAACUGAUGUACUUUGAAAGGGUGGGCACGUGUAUCAUUUAGGGAAAUAACUGCUGCGUGAGCUGCUGCCUUCAUAAAAAAAAAAGUCUCUAUGUAAAUGAUGGCUUCUUCCUACGAUUACUACCAUGGUUAAAGUCUCUAUGUAAAUGAUGGCUUCUUCCUAAAACUGAAUUAUGCUUGUCUAAUACAUAUGUAUGAACCCCUGGGCAGAUGCUUAAAACCAUUAAGUUACGUCAAGAAUUGAUUAGUCACGCUAGGUUAUUGGCACUAGUUUGUUGUAUGCUUUUCUUUACUAAAAAUCUUAAAAAUAGGUGAUUUGGGAUAACAUCUAAAGGACCCCAAGAGUUCAACUUUCUAUUACUAAAAUGAGACUGGUCUAGCAUGCUAUGUUUGUUGAUAUUGAAUGAAGAGUCUGAACUUCUUCAACUUCUUUAUUUUCGUAUCACUGCUUGUUGGAAUGGAUUAGAGAAUACUUGUCAGGUUCGCAUCUUCUUUUAGAAAACAUGGUUGCAGAAUGUAUAAAUUGGAUUGAAAGCUGUCUUAUGUCAUAUUUUGGAUACAAUGUUAGGGUUCUGUGUCUUCUGUCUCUUUUCGUGCUAACUAGUCGAAGGGAUGUUGUUUAUCUUGUUUGUUGUAUACGCUUAUGUGUUGAACACCUCUUUAAAGGGCGUAUUGGAGUACUUCUACCAUUGGAAAUCUCUCUAUAGAUUAAUCAAGUUUCUGGGAGUAGUUAGGCUUUGUUAGUUUAAUUUAUUUAUCAUGACACAUUGCAUUCAACGAUUAAUUAUUUCAUUCCUAUUUGUUAAAAUUAGCCUACUGUUUUCAUUCUUCAAGAGUAUUAAUUAAAUAAAAAAUAGAAAUGUAUUUUUUUUUAAAUGGAAGAGUACUCUCUGUUCACGCUGUAGAAGUCUCGCUUCGGCUGCUCCAGUUUAAUUAUUAGUGCUAUGCAUAGUUAUAGAAUAUAUUGGCAUGUGGCUGAUCUUAAUUACAUCUCUUUAGCAAUAAUCUAACUGUUGAAUCAAUUGGGACCUGUAAUAAUUUUUAACGGAAAUAAUCUGUUUGGUCCUCGAGUUGUUUUGUUGUUGGUCAUGAACACAUUAUAUCAGAAGCACAUUUCAAAGUAUUGCAAUGUGAUGUUAGGAGUGGAAUGUUACUGCUUUUAGAAUUAAUACUUGUAUUGUCUUGAUAAUUACCUUCGUUUAACAUGACUUCAUCUCUAGCCAUGAAUAUUAGUAUCUUUAUAUUUUACUAUUGCAUACUUAUUCUUCCUUUUGUUCCUUCUACUUUACAUGAACGCAUGGGAGUGCAUUUGGAGUCGUGCCAUAACUCCAACCUCUGCCCAGAAUCGGAGUAAACAGUAGCGGCAGUUCUGCUCGUGUCUAGCCAUCCCCAAUUUCUCUCGUGUCUUAAGUGUCGACGCCCUCUUUCCUUUAUUCAAAUUUUAUGUCUUUGUAUUGAUGUGUCGUUUACAUAUUUUACUAACAUUUUUGUGAGUUUUGUAUUUGCAGUAUCUAUUUCUUGUUUUGGGCGUGAACUCUCAAGAAUGGUUAAGAGGAAUAGUUUGCUUAAUCUCUUCCCGCUAUUAGACUUUACUUAAUCCAUUGGGUUCAGGUGCCUUACUGCACCACAUAAAACCACAGCUAGCGUAUGAUCUACUAAAUAAAUGAAGAUAGUGCCAGUUCGGAAAGAACCAUCUGUUCAAACUGGAUUUUCAACAGUAAGCAUAAACAACGUGAGAUGCUAGAAGCAGGACAGUAGCAAUGAAGACAAAGUUUCAUUAACUUUAGCUUCAGGCAAAAAUAGUGUUGCCAGUUUUCAUAGAAGGAUAAAAAAACACUUCAUUCAGUUAUACCAAGCCUCAAGAAAGAAAUAUUCUAAACAA